rnacentral:lncRNA from 1 species
UGGGGGGGGUUGGGGACACGGGUUGUCCUCUCCUCCCCUCCCCCACCUCCUUCAAGGAUGGGUGGGGGGUCACCUUCUUGCAGGUCCUGGGGGACCUCAACCUGGCCGGAGAACCUUGGGGACAUCCCGUGGUGGCGAAAUGGAGGUGGCCCUUGAUGUUGGUGGCCCUCGAGGACCUGAGAUGGUCACCACCGAUCCCCAAGAACCAGGUGGCCCUCCAGGACCUGAGAUGGUCACCAAGUGUCUCCAAGAAGAAGGUGGCCCUCGAGGACCUGAGAUGGUCACCACCGGUCUCCAAGAAGAAGGUGGACCUCCAGGACCUGAGAUGGUCACCACAGGUCUCCAAGAACCAGGUGGACCUCCAGGACCUGAGAUGGUCACCACUGGAACAUUGGAGAAGGAUGGCCCUGGGGGACCGGAGAUGAUUGUCCCCAAACCCGGUGACCUUGGUGGCCCUCAAGGACAGGAGAUGUUUGUCCCCAAACCCCAUGAACCGGACGCUCCUGAGGGACCAGAGACGAUUGUCCCCAAACCCCAAGAACUUGGUGGCCCUCAAGGACAGGAGAUGACUGUCCUCAACCCCUGUGACCCUGGUGGCCCUCAAGGACAGGAGAUGACCGUCCCCAACCCCCAAGAGGCAGAUGUCCCUCAAGGACUGGGGACAAUCAGCCGUGACGCUUGGGAGCAGGUGGGACCUGGUCAACCAACCCCGAUUGUCCCCAAACCUCAAGAGGUUGACGUUCUCCAAGGAUCGGAGACCAUCGUCCCCGGACACCGGGACCUGGGUGGCCCCAAGGGACAGGGGACAAUUGUCACCGGAGCUCGGGAGCAGGAUGGAGCCCAGGAGAUGAUUGUCCCCAAACCCCAAGAGCUGGACGUCACCCGAGGAGAGGAGAAGAUUGGCACCGGAGCUUGGGAGCAGGAGACACCCCCGGGACCAGAGGCCCCCCCAGAGGAGAGGACCCCUGGCCGUGCCCCCGCCGGGGGGGGCUACUUCGCCCUGGGCUUUAAUUGCCCCCGCCUGAAGAACCCCGUCAGCAAGAAGACCUGGGGCCGCAAGAUCAAGAGUUGGGCUCGGCGGCUCCGCCAGCCCCCCCCCGCCACGGGG